rnacentral:rRNA from 1 species
AGAUUGAACGCUGGCGGCAUGCCUUACACAUGCAAGUCGAACGGCAGCACGGGAGCAAUCCUGGUGGCGAGUGGCGAACGGGUGAGUAAUAUAUCGGAACGUGCCCAGUCGUGGGGGAUAACGCAGCGAAAGCUGUGCUAAUACCGCAUACGAUCUAUGGAUGAAAGCGGGGGAUCGCAAGACCUCGCGCGAUUGGAGCGGCCGAUAUCAGAUUAGCUAGUUGGUGGGGUAAAAGCCUACCAAGGCGACGAUCUGUAGCUGGUCUGAGAGGACGACCAGCCACACUGGAACUGAGACACGGUCCAGACUCCUACGGGAGGCAGCAGUGGGGAAUUUUGGACAAGUGGGCGCAAGCCUGAUCCAGCAAUGCCGCGUGCAGGAUGGAAGGCCGUUCGGGUUAGUAAACUUGUCGUUUUAGUACGGAACGUAAACGUUCUCUACUAAGUACGAGGGUACUAAGUGUACGGUAACGUAAGAAAGUUAACGACCGAACCGGUACUAAACGUACGUACGACCGAACG